CGAAAUUGAUCAAUAUUAUUUAAUGGUCCCACAUGAAAAUAGCCUUUCCAGCAAGUCCAUUCAAUUUUCACAAGACAUCCAACCAUAUCCUCAAGGAUGACCUCCCACCACACAAUCCUUGUACCACCUUAUCUCAUAUAUAGAUAGGAAUGAUCAACACUUACAGAAGUAUAUAUUAAGCAAGCAUGAACAGUAAGUAAAUAUAAAGCUGAAAGCAAAGAGCAUAGGUAUUAUUAAAAGUGGUGGCGUUUACAUGGCCACCAACGAUUAAAACAUCCGACGAUGAUGAUACACCAUAUCCUCAUACAAUAUUCCAUUGCAUUACUCCAUCGGAGACUUCGAAUAAGCAAAGAAAAAACAAAAAACAGACACAAAAAAUAAAAUUCCACAAGGGUCCUAAACAUGAGAGUGAAAAAACAUGGACAUCAAAUAUUGCGGAAACAGGAUCAGCUGGGCUUGUAGGCAAUGAAAGCGAUGCAUUGCACUUGGCGGUUAUUGUCGAAUCCGAUGAUUCGGAUGUGGGCGUCAGGGUACGCGGUCCUGGCUUCUUGCACCUCCUUAAUCACCUGGGCUGAGUCAGUGCACCCGAACAUGGGCAGCUUCCACAUGGUCCAGUACCUUCCGUCGUAGUAUCCUGGCGAUCUGUUGUGCUCUCUGUGGGGGUAUGGGUACUGCAUUCACAUACAAAAUAAUAAUCCAAUUAUUCUACAAAUUAAACCUCUAUAAUCCUAGUUUAAAAGCUUCACAGAAAAGUUCAUGAAAAUAACCAGCUUGGUGAAUUCCAAGCAAGGAAUCCAUUUCAUGCGGAGAAGGUAAUCCACUUCCUUGCAUAGCUGUUCGUCGUUGAGGGGUGGGAGGUAUGAGAGAGUCUCGAACUUCAUCAACCCUUCUGUAGGCCAAACCUGUGGUUUUCACAUGUACAAUAUCCACAGUUUAAUUCAUCAUAUAUAAAAAAAUAAAAAAUAAAAAAAACCCAGACUACUAAUGUCUUCUAAUUGAAGUGAAGUUGUGACUUGUGAGGCAGGGUGGUGGCAGUACCUUCAUGCAGCGAACUCGGCCACCAUUGCUAGCGACGGAGGUGAUGUCGGUGUUGGCUUUUCGGGUGCCAGGGAAAGUCGACAAAGAUUUGAGUCCGGUGAAGGGGGCCACCAUGUUGGCCUGAGCCGGGGUAGCACGGUUGAUUGUAGCCACGGUGGCGGAGGAGACCAUGGAGGAAGCCAUUUUCGCCUUUUGGGUUUUGCUAACACCACCACUGCCUU
rnacentral:lncRNA from 1 species